AAGAGUGCCAGGGACAACAACGUCACAUUAGAAAGAAGCCGCUGGAGAGGACGCGGAGACCACGGUAAAAAGCUUCAUCAAAACCCACCUGAAGCUGCCGGAGGACACGGUGAAGAACAUCGUCUUCGAUAGGGUGCAUCGCCUCGGCCCCAUUCGGGCUGCGGCCGGGAGACCACGUCCUAUCGUGGCCAAAUUCAGCCACU